rnacentral:rRNA from 1 species
UACGUAGGGGGCAAGCGUUGUCCGGAUUUAUUGGGCGUAAAGAGCGUGUAGGCGGCCAGACAGGUCCGUUGUGAAAACUCGAGGCUCAACCUCGAGACGCCGAUGGAAACCGUCUGGCUAGAGUCCGGAAGAGGAGAGUGGAAUUCCUGGUGUAGCGGUGAAAUGCGCAGAUAUCAGGAGGAACACCGGUGGCGAAGGCGGGUCUCUGGGCCGAUACUGACGCUGAGAAGCGAAAGCGUGGGGAGCGAACAGG